UACGUAGGCAGCAAGCGUUGUUCGGAGUUACUGGGCGUAAAGGGGGCGUAGGCGGUCCUAUAAGUAUGGUGUGAAAUCUCCCGGCUUAACUGGGAGGGUGCGCUAUAGACUGUGGGACUAGAGUGUGGGAGAGGAAAGUGGAAUUCCUGGUGUAGCGGUGAAAUGCGUAGAUAUCAGGAGGAACACCGGUGGUGUAAACGGCUUUCUGGACCAUAACUGACGCUGAGGCACGAAAGCGUGGGUAGCAAACAGG
rnacentral:rRNA from 1 species